CCGGGAGGGUCCCCGCGGCCUGUAGGGGGCAGUGCCGCGCCCCGGACGAGGAGGGGUGGGUCUGGGCUACCCGGGCCACACCGCGGCUGUCACUGCCCGCCCGCCCUGCCCGCCGCGCGCUUCCCGUCGGCGCUUCAGGCCCCACGGGACCCGGGGGGACGUGGCGGGGCCGGCGCGCGACGGCCGUUGGGGAGUUGGGAUCCGGGAGACCCGCGUCGCCUCUCGCUCGCGCGGGGCGGCGAGACCUCAGGCGGCGCGUCCGCGUGGCCAGGGCGCCUCGGGUCGCCCGCGGCUUCCCCUGGCAUCGAGCCCGAGGAAUCCGGCGACCAUUCCGCCGCCACGACUUCCAUCGCGCGCGAGGCGAGCUCCAAACAAACAUCACAUCUAAAUUAAAAAAAAAAAAAAAAAAAAAAAAAAAAG